AGGUAAGCUACUAAGAGCGAAUGGUGGAUGCCUUGACUGGUAAAGGCGAUGAAGGACGUACUAGACUGCGAUAAGCUACGGGGAGCUGUCAAGAAGCUUUGAUCCGUAGAUUUCCGAAUGGGGCAACCCAAUGUAUAGAGAUAUACAUUACCUAUAUAGGAGCGAACGAGGGGAAUUGAAACAUCUUAGUACCCUCAGGAAAAGAAAUCAAUAGAGAUUGCGUCAGUAGCGGCGAGCGAAAGCGCAAGAGGGCAAACCCAGUGCUUGCACUGGGGGUUGUAGGACUGCAAUGUGCAAGAGGUGAGUUUAGCAGAACAUUCUGGAAAGUAUAGCCAUAGAGGGUGAUAGUCCCGUAUGCGAAAAACAAACCUUAGCUAGCAGUAUCCUGAGUAGGGCGGGACACGAGAAAUCCUGUCUGAAGCUGGGUCGACCACGAUCCAACCCUAAAUACUAAUACCAGAUCGAUAGUGCACAAGUACCGUGAGGGAAAGGUGAAAAGAACUGAGGUGAUCAGAGUGAAAUAGAACCUGAAACCAUUUGCUUACAAUCAUUCAGAGCCCUAUGUAGCAAUACAGGGUGAUGGACUGCCUUUUGCAUAAUGAGCCUGCGAGUUGUGGUGUCUGGCAAGGUUAAGCAAACGCGAAGCCGUAGCGAAAGCGAGUCUGAAUAGGGCGCUUAGUCAGAUGCUGCAGACCCGAAACGAAGUGAUCUAUCCAUGAGCAAGUUGAAGCUAGUGUAAGAACUAGUGGAGGACUGAACCCAUAGGCGUUGAAAAGCCCCGGGAUGACUUGUGGAUAGGGGUGAAAGGCCAAUCAAACUUCGUGAUAGCUGGUUCUCUCCGAAAUAUAUUUAGGUAUAGCGUUGUGUCGUAAUAUAAGGGGGUAGAGCACUGAAUGGGCUAGGGCAUACACCAAUGUACCAAACCCUAUCAAACUCCGAAUACCUUAUAUGUAAUCACAGCAGUCAGGCGGCGAGUGAUAAAAUCCGUCGUCAAGAGGGAAACAACCCAGACUACCAGCUAAGGUCCCUAAAUCUUACUUAAGUGGAAAACGAUGUGAAGUUACUUAAACAACCAGGAGGUUGGCUUAGAAGCAGCCAUCCUUUAAAGAAAGCGUAAUAGCUCACUGGUCUAGUGAUUUUGCGCGGAAAAUAUAACGGGGCUAAAGUAAGUACCGAAGCUGUAGACUUAGUUUACUAAGUGGUAGGAGAGCGUUCUAUUUGCGUCGAAGGUAUACCGGUAAGGAGUGCUGGAGCGAAUAGAAGUGAGCAUGCAGGCAUGAGUAGCGAUAAUUAAUGUGAGAAUCAUUAACGCCGUAAACCCAAGGUUUCCUACGCGAUGCUCGUCAUCGUAGGGUUAGUCGGGUCCUAAGUCGAGUCCGAAAGGGGUAGACGAUGGCAAAUUGGUUAAUAUUCCAAUACCAACAUUAGUGUGCGAUGGAAGGACGCUUAGGGCUAAGGGGGCUAGCGG
rnacentral:rRNA from 1 species